UACAGAGGUCUCAAGCGUUGUUCGGAUUCAUUGGGCGUAAAGGGUGCGUAGGUGGUUUUUUAAGUGAAGUGUUAAAGACUGGGACUCAAUCUCAGGAGUGCAUUUCAUACUGAAAAACUCGAGUGUGGGAGAGGAAACAGGAAUUCCUCAUGUAGAGGUGAAAUUCGUAGAUAUGAGGAGGAACACCAGAGGCGAAGGCGAGUUUCUGGAACACAACUGACACUGAGGCACGAAAGCGUGGGGAGCAAACAGG
rnacentral:rRNA from 1 species